UAAAGGUGGGCCUCACUCGCCCUUUAUAUUUUGAAACAAGUGCUGCACCAAACAAAAUUAUGGCUUUCAUGUCUGAUGGUGGGGUUAUUUGCAGUUUUUUGCAUAAAUAACGAUAGAUGUCAGCACAUUUGCGUUUUCUUCUUUUCCUUGGGCUCUUGAAAGAAAACGAA
rnacentral:lncRNA from 1 species